rnacentral:lncRNA from 1 species
CCUGACAAUUAUCACAUCCAAUUCCAGAAUGUACAUUUCCUGCACAUGAGACAAUAGAUUGCUUGGUUAAUGACAGUGGCAUGAUGUCUUCAGAAAUAUUCAAAACCAACGGAAAGACAGUGUCACCUCAUAAGUCAUAAGACAUUUUUUGUUUGUAGAGAAACUGACAAGGUGCAGUGUAACAUGUAAUAUGUAACAGUCCAACUCUAUCUGUAAUAUGUAAUAUGUAUGCAUCUAUAUAUCAAUGUUUUAAAUUAUGCGAAGAGAACCUCUUGACAAUGAAUUAAGCUCCUAUAUAUUGUGUGUUCAUGGACGAGCAGCAGAAGCUUGGACAUCUGCCGGAUUUGGGACCUCGAAACCUGGGUUUGGAAUGAAGGUAUCAUCACCAAAGCCUGGAAAAGUUUGAGUGGUUUCUCGAGUUUACUCUUUUUGAUGUUUUAUAGGCAUAUGUAACAAGCUCAAGGUGUGUUUUCUUAAAUCUAUUUAUAAUUAGAGUAUAAUUUGCAGAUAUUAAGUUGGUUUUGAUUGUUAGAUUUGGGAAUAAUCUUCAUGAAAGUAGAGGAUAUGCAAAAAAUAGAUAGUGCUUCCAGUUCUGAGUUCAGAGUAGUUGAUGCUUUGAUGUCUACAUGGUCUGUCAGAGGUUUUAAAGCAAUAAGAUUAUCUGUCAUGCUUCUCUCUAAAGAUAUGUAUAGAAUGACAACAACAUAAUUAGGUUCCAAAAUGUAAAACUGAGAAAGAAGCAACAUGGAAACACAAGCUGUAAGGGGCUUUGCAUGGAACUUUAACUAAUUUUGCGUGUUUACAAACAACUAAAUUGUGUUUUUGAGUUUUAAGUUUUACCACGUGCUAGUCACGUGAAAUGGUAGUUUGGUCAUUAAGAAAAUAUGGAUGCCUUGGCUCUGGUCAACUGGGUUGACUGACAGUCAAGUGACGAAAAAGGGACCAUUUACUAAUAAACGAUAAAGAUUAGACCAAAUGCUAAUUACCCAUCUUCUAAAGGGACCAAAUACAAAAUACCCCUUAUUUUUACUUGUUAUUAUGGCUGUGAUCGGAAUUCUAUGAAUAGAUUUUUCUUUAUACGUACUAUGAAUCAAUGGAUAUGUGAUUUUGGAAGUUAGCACUCAUCUGUUUUUGUUGAUCGAUAAUUAUGAGCAUUGCUUUAGAAUUAUAAAUUGAAAGAAUCCAAUGUGAAUUCUGUUUGCAGUUGCAUACCUUCUCAAAUGCUUUUUUAAGGGCCAGGAAUAUUUAUAAAAGUUUUUAUUUCUCUUGAUGUAUCACCUAAAAACUGUCAAUUUUCUUCUAUUUUUUGCUUUAAGUAAGCUUCCUGCCCAUAAAUACACUUAGUAUGCGUGUUUUUUGUGGUACCAUGAAUUUUUUUUUUAUAUCUUCAAUUCAGAUAUAUAUGGUGUUUGCACGCGGAAUUACUAUUUAUGGCUAUUUCAUCAAGAAAAAAAAUUGGUGUUCCUGUAAUUAAUUUGUAGACAUAUAUCUCUUUAUUCCAUUUGUUUUUUUGUAAUUUUAGGGUUGGACUAUUUUUGAGAUAUUAAGAUACGCACCCCUGCACAACUGGGCUGCUUAUGAAGAAGCUUUAAAAGAAAAUCCUGUUUUAGCCAAAAUUAGUGUUCCUGUAAUUAAUUUGUAGACAUAUCUCAUUCCUUCAAUCUUGUUUCCAUAUAUUUGUUUUCUCAUAUUCUGUUUAUUGUGUAGUGCUAUGAAGGGAAACCUCUUUUUGAUUUUGAUCGGACGUGCAUGUUCAGAUCAGGCCUUGUUGGAUUCUCUCUUCAUGGCUCUCUUUCUCAUUAUUAUUACCAGUUCUGUGAGGUGAUUGUUUAGGAUCAAUCUUCGAAGAUAUUAGCUACUCAGAGUAUUAGUUGAUUUUGCGUGAAAGCCUGAAAGUUGUUGUUGGCGCUGCAGGCUUUAUUCCCUUUCCAAGACUGGUGGCCGGUGGUUCCUGUUACGGUUGUCGAUCUUUGACCAAACUGCAUGAGCAACAUUAUGGAACAGCAUAUACUAUGUAGUACUCGGGUUAUUGCGUUUCGAAUCCCCAGCCAGCAUUUUCAGUGAACUAAAAGCAACAUUUAUUCCCAUGCUGACUGUAAGAUAUAUCCUCCUUUCUUUAAAUAAUUUACUUUUCAUGAGUUUAGUGUUUUGUAUCAUUCUACAUAUAUACAGACUCCUUCUCUGUUUUCAUAGAACUGAAGGUCUAAAUUGUGGCUAGAAAUAUGUACUAUUUCUCAAAAAGAAGAAGUUUUUAUCUUUCCUUGAUAUUAGUGUAGAAUUUCUUCUGAUUGCAUCAUGUAGUUCAAAUACACUAAAAAGCUGUGUUCCUUUGCUGAAUUAUAAUUCAUUGUGUUUCGCUUUGAGCAGUGAGCAACUCUUGGAAUCACUGGCAAACCAUAUUGAUAUUUUCAAAGCUCUAUCCUUUACGUAUAUGUCUAGGGUUGCAUCAUUGACUCAUGUUUUACUUGGUGGAUCAUUUUCAAUGCAUUUGUAGAGUUGUCAGGCAGUAAGUUGAUGUAAAUGUGUCCAUGGUCAAUGAAGGAUUUACAUACUAGCACCAUGGCCCUUCAAAUGUAGAGGCGCAUAUAGAGCAUGUUGUCUAUGUGAGUUCUGUCUUACUUAAUAACGUAAGUUAGUAAACGUAGGAAAUGGUCUAUAACGUGGUUGGAGACUUGGAGUUAGUAAACUAUUGGUGUGGUUCUUGGCUUAGUUGGAACACUGUAUUUGAGCUUUGAUUUUUAUGAGUUGGUAUUUGCAUAGAGCUUCUAUAUUCUCUAUUAAAUUAUCUCUAUGUUGUUUGUUUGACAGGUAGGAUGGAAGCUCUGGUCUUUUGCUCAUCUAAUUACGUACGGUGUUGUUCUAGUAGAACAAAGACUUCUUUGGGUUGAUUGUGUGGAGCUUAUUUGGGUUACAAUACUCUCCACGUAAGUACUUAAUAAUAACACAAAGAACAUGUCAUCCACUUUCAUUGGAAGUGAACUCUAGUACCCUAUCAAUUAGCUCUGAGGUAUUUUGCGAAAUAUAUUUUACAGUAACAUCUGGUUUUGUUUGUGUUUUGACAUUAGCAGAUACUCUACUGAAUUUUAUUUGCUAACAUACUCGAUUCUAUGAAAUUGACUCCUACUAGAAAGAGUGAGUGACUUCCUCAAUCUGUGCAUAGAUUGUUACGAGUUGAUGCGGAAGCAGUGGAAAUAUCGAAUGCAGCCUGACAUACUACUUAUGGUUCAUUGCUGGCUUUUCAUCGAAACUUUAAUGUGUAUGUAAGUCCUGUUUGACCCUAUUUAAGAAUCAUUGCCGUGGUUCUUCAAAUCAUAAAUGUUGUAACAUAUGUCAAUAUAAGUUACUCUGUAGAUUAUAUUCAUUCGAAAAUUUGCAUUUACUUUGUAUAAAACCACCCUCUCCAUGAUUCAAUGAAACAGUGGAGAAAAAAUAGAGCUCAACAAACUCUUACUUUCAUCUUUUUUUUUUCUUUUUCUUUUCCUUUUUCUUUAAUUAUAAUUUUUUUUUCAUUAAAUUCCAAGACCCCUGAAAGCUACUUCACAAGGCCCGAAGGUGUUACAUCUGAAACUAGGCCAGUAGGCUAUUCUAUGUUGUUGACACCUAAGUAUCCACGUCACCUCCAUGUCACAAGAGUAGCCGUGUUACUCUAUAAACACUUGCUUUUGUUUUGCUCCACCUAAGUAGAUCAUGAGUAAAAUUCCUCUAACCGUUUUCUAGAUGAAUUGAACCCAGAACCUCCCAACUUAGAGAGGGAUGUCUUUACCGACAGUGUUACCAGUUUUUGGCACUCUUACUUUCAUCAAUUGCUCUCUUUUGAUGCAUUAAUAUGUAUGCAAAUCUCUAUUCAGAAUAUAUACUCGUAUUUUUACUUUCAAUAAAAUUUCAAUAUAUAGGAAAUUUUAGUUCAGAAUUGCCUAUACUCUUAUUUUAAUAAAACAGCUCGGUUGUUAAUCCUAAAUAUACACUAUAUAUCUACAUUUUUAGUAAGAUUGGUCCAAAAAAACCUAGUGGUCCUAGAAAGAAAAACGAAGAGAUAAUUACUGUCUACGUUGACUGUGUCGUCACAUAGCCUAUUAAUAGAGCUCCUUUUGCAGUCUUAGAUUAUGGUACAAAGUAGGUUUUACUGAUCUAGGCAUCAAAUUUUGGAAUGUGGCUUCUUGUGCAUCUCGGCAUGGCAUCCCUAACAUUGUAUUAGUCAAAGUACCACUCUGUAUCUUUCCUGGUUAGGGAAGUUAUCUUACCUAACCUGUUAUCCAUAAUAAAGCCUAAAACUAUCAAUGAAUUAAACACCAAGUUGAGGAAUGAGUGAUCUGUCGGUAGACAUGCCGCUAGAUUCCUGCAAUUAUCUGAUGUAGUCCAAAGAAUAUAUAUUUUCAGUUGUCAUUUUUGUCAAAGCUCACUAAAAACUGUCUUGCACAUUCGCAAAUCCUCAAUGUGAUAACGAUCACAUGGAACAAGAUUUUUUGCUGACAUUCGGUAUUCCUUGCUGGAACUAGAUUUUGUGCUGAACUUUGAAGCAUACUGACAAAACCCAUUCUCUAUAUUCUUGUGUUAUUCUGAGGAAGUAGCAGUGUUCUACGGUGGUAAUGGUAUUUCUUAUAAUUGUCCAAUGGUUAGUUUUCGUUUGGCACCACCGAGCAGACUGCGGUAGUUAGAAGCAUAAGGAAAAACAGCAUUCAAGACUACUGCCAUCGCCAGAACAGACUAACUUGAAAUUUAUUCAUUGCAAACACUCAGCAAAACAAAACAUCAUAAUGCAACUUAGGAAGAAACAUUUUGAAAUAAAACCACAAUGAAAAUAACACUAGCUAGCAAUAGAGAUCUUCACCAUUUCUAAACUACUGUUUUGAUAAGAGAACCUCUUUACAAUGAAGCUCCUACAUGUCGUGUGUUUAUGGAUGAGCAGCAGAAGCUUGGACAGCUGCCGGAUUUGGGACCUCGAAACCUGGGUUUGGAAUGAAGGUAUCAUCAAAACCUGGAAUAUACUAGUGGUAUUGUCUUCCUGGUAGGUUGUUAUAUCCAACACCAAAGCCUGGAAAAGUUUGAGUGGUUAAUGGGACAUCUUGAUUAUGCUUAUUCUUAGCAUUGCUAUUAAUGGUUCUUGGAAUUUCCCGGGCUACGAAAGCAAAUUGGGUCAUGACAAGAAACAUGAUAAGGACAACAAGGUAACUCCAUGCAUAAUGUCAGCAUAUUUAUAUUACGUAAUAAACAGUUUAUCAGCAUAUUUAUAUAAAGUAAUAAACAGUUUACAAGUAACUCCAUGCAUAACGUCAGGUAAAUUCCACAAACACAAUUCAUUUAACCUAAUUCUGUUGCAAUAUCAAUGCCCCUUCAAAUGCUCUGCAAUCCUGGUAGGUUCCACAAACACAAUUCAUUUAACCUAGGCAGUGUGAUGGGUGUUUUGACACUUCCUAUUUUUUUUUUCUUCGUCUUCUUCUCCUAUCAACUCCUCCAUUUCUUUACAAUCAAAGAUAUAUAACACUUCAAGAUUCUGAAGCAGCUGCAGCAACCUAGAUGAGUAUAAUGAAUAUUGUUCUUGGAGGAUUACCUAGACGAAGUUGAGAAUAAUAGCAGUGUGGUCCAAUCGCUACAACCCAUUAAAUUUGGCCGAUCUAACAUAGCUAGUGUAAUCAGACAAGCUAUGGAAAGUGACAUUAAGAUUCUCCAACUCUUUCAAGCUCAGCAAUUCCUCUGCAAAAAAGCAGAGUGCUGAUAACAUUAACAACACUUCUUCUUUGUCCAUCAAUGUAUUAGCACAAACUACCCUUCUUUCUCUACAUUUGCCAAUGAUCCAUGUGAACCUUAUGCAGAAGAAAUCACUUUCUUCGUUUUCCUAUUGAAUGAAUUGCAUUCAAUUACAACCAUCUCCAUUCCACAAACCAAGACAAUUUGUACAAUCAUAUUGUUAGAACUUAUUGGCAAAACCAAAUCAAUACAAAAAAUAUUACUCCAUAUUGAUAUCAUCAUAUCAGCCAAUUCAGUUGCAUAAACAUGGGGUGAAUUUAAAUCUGGGUAACAAUGAAAACACAAUAGAAUCCCAAGACAAAUUGAACCUAAUAAUAAUGAAAACGCAUAAAUUGUUCAUCAAUAACUUUCAAUAAGCAAAAUAGUUGAGUGCAACUUCAAAAGAGCCCCAGAGAAUAUAUGAAAAAGUGCAGUCCAUAGAUCUUCUGCAGCAUCAUAAGAAACCACUGGGAAAGAACUGCACUAAUAAUGUACUGUAACGACCAGUAUGAUGUACCACUCCUUCAUAUGAACUUAUUAACUAGCUCAACUUUAUGCACUGUUUUGCUCUUCAACGGUAUGUACAGGAACUGGACUGUCUCCACGGUUUGCAAUAAGCUCAAAGGUAUGCCCUUUUGUGUUAUGCUGAUUGACAAAAUCUGAAUGCUUCGAGGGAGUAUUAUAACACUCUUCACACAAAUCGAAACCUAUCAAUCCCUCAGUGACAACAACACGUUCCUCAUGACAUUCCUUGCAUUUGUAUCGCUUUCCGACUAUUGGCCUCAUCUGUAGAGGUCAAUUUAGGUGGUAAGAGAAGACUAAAGGAUGAAGCUACAAAGAGGAAAGUAUUGUAUGUCUGAAAACUUUACACAAACUUCGGCUUCCUGAAUGCAGUUAGAGAAUGAAGUAUGGGAGCAAUAAACCCCACAAUUGACCCACACACUAUGACACUAAUGCUUAUCACCUGGUGGAGUGCAAAUUUGUGGACAUACACUAAAUGUAUGUCCAUGGGACAGCCUUAUUUCAUUGGGCCACGUGGUUCGAAAUUCACGUUAGUAUUAUUUUUAGAAACCCCUUUUUUUUUUUUAAUUUUUAUUAAAAUAAAACUUAAGUGAAUUUUGGACCACGUCGCCCAAUGAAAUAAGACUGAGCGUAUAUCAACAAAUUUGCACUCCAUUCUAGCAGUCUGAUGUCUUCUUCUUUUCACAAAUUUAGGUACAGUAUAUGAUUGUUUAGCAAAACUCUAAAAACAGAAAAUAAAAAGAAGCCAGACAAGAACAUACAAUCUAUCAGAACAAAAUUAUCAAUCAGAACGGACCAUUUGCAGCUUAUAUGGAUUAAAGUACCCUGAAUUUUACAUAAAUUGAAUCAAAAUGCAAGAAGGAUGUUACCUUACAGUUAUCGCAUCCAGUUACAGUGUGUAUAUUUCCUGCACAUGAGACAAUAGAUUGCUUGGUUAAUGAUAGUGGCAUGACGUAAUACAUCAAAUCUUUACUACUAAUGUCCUCAGAAAAGUUCAAGACCAAUGGAAUGGCAGACAGUGUCACUUCAUAAGUCAUAAGACGUAUUUUUCUUUUAGAGAAAGUAACAAGGUAUACUUAAUGGCAGUGUUGAUAAAUGGGUAGGGGUAGGUCUAACAGUCCAACUCUUGCCAAAACCAAAAGAAAUGUAUGAUGCAUGUAUGUAGGUAUCUAUAUAUCAAUGUUUUAUAGAAAUGGGCCACUUCAUCUUCUGGUAGGGAUGUCGACAAAAUGCGUUAUAUGUCAAAUAUUUUGAAUAUGGUAAUCGGAUCAACUUCAUGGUUAAUCUACUCUACAAUUUUAAAAUAAAAAAUAUAUGGAAAUGCGUUGUAUCUCUCCCUUAUGCAUUUAUCAAUGUAAUUUGAGUCAUGACAUAAAAAAUAUAGAUAAAGCAGUAAACUUCAUGGUUAAUCUACUCUUCGAUUUUAGUUUAUCUUUUGGGAAUAUCGUGAUGAACAACACUAUUUUUGGGUUCAGACACAGUGGCAGCAAUCGGGGUUUAAUUAGCUUCAAUUUUGAAAUAUAGUUGACCAAAACAUUGCACUUGCUUUUAAUUAGCUUCAAUUUGGAAUUUGUUUUUGAAUGAAAUAUAUCUCCAUUAAAGUCGGAACUUAAUUAAUCGUUGGGCAAUGCGGUUUUCCAUUUCGUUUUAGUAAAAAACAGAUGACAUAUAUAAAUAGGCAUACUUGAAGAAGUAACCAACGAAUUACUUAACAAAAGAACAAAUAAUUUAAUUAAUGCAAUUGAUUGAAUUAACCAUUCAAUCAACGAAUUACCAACGAAUUUACUCUAGUGAAUGGUCAAUUGAUUUCAACGUUGUAGUGGAAACUUAUAUAUAACAUAACGUUUGUGUAUUUGGUUGUGAUUUGUGAUAAUGCUUUAGUUAACUAGUUGAACUGAAACCAAUGCUCAAACAUUUGCAUUGUGUAGUUUGCCAAUAAUUACGAACUGAGUGCAAUAGUAGCACAUACCACACCAACAAACGCACUUAUGGUCAGCGCGUUGCGCGUGCAAAAAUAUGAACAAAAUGUUGACAGCUUCUUUUGUUAGAGUUGAAAAGAAAAUCCACACAACACAAUGUCGACAGCUUUUAUUGUUAGAGUUGAAGAAGAUUUCAUUUCAGAAUAAAUAUAUUCGCAAAGCAACGCAACGCUCGGAUAUUUCCAACUUUACAGGUUUUGAACAAGCAUCUUGUUCAAUCCAAAUCAAACUCAGGUCUUCGUCUUUCUCUUUCUCUGUCUCUCGCUCUCUCUUUCUCUCUCUCUCUCUAUGUUAUUUCUACUAUUCUAUCAAAAUAUAUCAAAAAAAUCCUAGAAUUUAUUACAAUCCAUGAGAUUAUCUAAUAAUAUCUAUUGGAGUAACUUUCUUGUUUUAUCAAAUUUUAUCUUGCACAACAGUAUAUCUAUCAAAAUUUGUAUAUUUUAGCUUUUUGAUGCGAGGUUUUUGAUUCUUGAAAUAAUAACUGGAAAUUGGGAAAUCUUUUAUAGAGUUUAUAUUGAUAUCAAUUUUGUUAUUUGAAGAAAUUAUUACAGAUUCUAGUUUGUUUUAAUAGACAAAACAAAUUUAGGCAUUUUUUACUUGUCAAAAGGUGAAAGCUUUUUGACCAUUCACUAUAGUAAAUAUUUCAUUCUACAUACCUUCUUCUUCUACUUCUUCUUCUUCUUCUUCUUCUAAAUAAGUCGGAUUUUCUACGAACAAAUCAAAAUAUACUACAAUGAAAAGAAAACAGAAAAAAAUUUGAACACAUUUGGAGUGAUAAAUCAAUCCAUACAUACCUUGAAGUUCUAUGAAGAAGGGUUGAAGGAUAUUUUGGGGAUAUGCAGGAUCCCAUUCCAGUGAAUCCCACCAUUUUCUGCUUCCUUUAAUAUUUUUCAGAGAUGCUGGUGGUUGUAUCGAUUGAUCUUCUCCCUUAAAUUGAGGGAGCUUCUUUAAUUCAGAACAAUUGCCAUGUACCCAAACUUCUUCGAGAGAGUCACUAAUCAUCACGCCCCUCCAAAUGCUCUUCAAUUUCGGUAGAUUCCUAAACACCAAGUUUUUAAUCUUAGGGAAUUGAACUGCGAUGGGUGUUUCAACGUUUCUUCUGUUUUCUUCUUCUUCUUCUUCUUCUCCAAUCAACUCCUCCAAUUCGUCACAUCCAUUGACCCAUAUCUUUUCAAGGUUUUGGAGCAGCUGCGACAACCUAGAUGAUGAUAAGACAUUCUUGAGAUUAUGACAUCCAUAGAUUCCCAACUCCUUCAAGCAGAAGAAGGAAGGAGGAAUUGGAAUCCCCUUAAAAAACGUGUACAAUUUGGGGCAGUCAUAGAUAUCUAUUCUUUCCAGGCAUUGUAGCCAACAAGUAGAAGAAGUACCAGUACCAGUACCACUCAAACUCAAUUCUUCUUCUUUUUCAUCUUCUGACGACGACCACCACCAUAUACACUCUAUUUUGUUACACUGGUCAAUUCUAAAUGCUACAAGCUCUCUUACAUCCUUUAUUAACUCAUUUAACCUUGUCAACUCAUUUAACCUUGUCAAAUCAUUGAACUCAUUUAUUGCAACACGUUUAGUGUUUUGGGGGAAAAAAUGGGCAUUUUGAGCACUACCUUCAUCUGAGUAAGAUAAUUGAACUGUUGCCCUUGGAGGAACACCUAGAUGACUAGUAAGAUAAUUGUACUGUCCUCCAACUGCUAGAUAAAAACAUUUCAACCCAUUAAAUUUGGAUGAUCCAACAUAGCUUGCAUAAUCAGACAAACAAUGAAAACUGGUGUUAAGAUUCUCCAACUCUUUUAAGCUGAGCAAUUCAUUUGCAAAACAUUCACCGCUUCCAACGUCAUACAAUUUAUCCACUUUUAUGGCACCAAGGUACAACUCUUGCAAUGCAGACAACUUUGAUAUUAAUCCAAGUGGAAUUGUCUCCCUCAAACUUACAAGAUGGAGGUUAAGGCAAUUAAGUUUGCCCAACAUUUCCAUACCUUCAGGAAGUUCUUCAAUGGCAGUAUUAUUAAGUUCCAACCUUCUCAAUCGUACGAGUUUAGCUAGUGAAGGCACUUUCUUCAACUUCCUACAAUAACUUAAACGUAAAUCAUGUAGAUUCACCAAUUCAGAGAUGGAAUCUGGCAACGAUUCUAAAUGAUGAUUUGCUUUGCCCCAAUCACAUCGCAAAUCAAGUACCCUGAGGCACUGCAUAUGGAUAAAGAAAUCGUGUGUUAUACUGCUUAUGAAAUGAUUGCCUCCAAGAAAUAAGGUAGAGAGCUUAGGGCAUCUUGGACUGAUUGAAACCUUUGAUAUCAUAUUAUUCAUAAAAGAAGCCCUCUCAGGAACUUCUUCCCAUGCUACUUCACUUGGUAAUACUUGCAAUAGGGAACCAGCUUUGACCAUGAAAUGCUUACGUGUGAUACAAGAAGCUCAUCCUGUCUACUUCUUCCCUCGACCAUACCAUCCAUGAUCCAAAAGUCAACCAAUUCCCUUGCUAAAAUUUCAUAAUCCUCAGGAUACAAUGCACAACAUAAGAAAGAUUUCUUUAGUAUUUCAUUGGGCAACCGGUCAUAACUGAAUUUUAAACGUUCAAAGACAAUGUCUUCGCUAUCUAUGAUUCGGUUGCUAAAGUUCCUCAAAUCAUUCAAAGCAACUGUCCAAUCCCAAAGGUCACCAUUUCCUCUCAUAGCUGCAGCUACUGUGAUUAUCGCCAGUGGCAAACCAGAACAUUCCUUAGCGACCAACUUUGCAGUCGACAUUACUUCAGGAGUAAGCUCAUCAACUUUAUCUAAAAAUAACUCCCAAGCUUCUUCUUCAGUUAGAGUUUCUACCUUAACAAUGGCUGCGCGACAUCCCAUCUUAUUGCAAACUUCUUUCUUCCUGGUAGUUAAUAAUACUUUGCACCCAUUGUCUGUAGUGGGUUCAGGUAUACCUAUCUUGUCAAGAGGAAAUUCUUGCCACAUGUCAUCCAAAAUAAAUAGGAUCCUUUUCCUCCGUUUCAGCGCCUCAUGUAACUUUCCCAUCCUUUCUAUUUCAUCUUGUUCAUUUGAUAAAUCCAAGUCAACCUUUUUCCCAAUAUCAAUUUGUAAUCCAUGAAUAUCCUUAGCUUUUGAUAGAGUGACCCAAAUAAUCUUAUCAAACUGAUUAGACUUUUCUAGGAUUCGAUUAUUCAUAACCAUUGCCAUCUUGGUUUUACCAAUUCCACCCAUUCCGUGCACUCCAACCACUCUACUUUCACCAUCCAUUAGAAGUUCCCAAACCUUCUCUAAAGAUUUUUGAGCCGUAGUUUCCCCAACCAAUUUUUGUGCAGGUAGUUCCACUCCAAUCUUUGGUACUUGUGAUGUGAGAGUGCCCUUUAAUAAUUCAGUACCUAUGAGAAUAAGUUUAUCCACCUCCAUGAUCAACACUGAGAUACGUUGUCCUAAAUUAAAAUUUGAACAACAUUUAGGCAAUACACGAUUUAAGCACCUCUUUGAUGUUUUGAACUCUCCUUCGAUGAGUUUUGUGUCUUCCAAAAUACGUUGGACAUUUUUUAGCCAAGAUUCCACAACAUGUGUAGGAACCUCCCCUCGGUCAAUCCUUGUUGUGUGUAACUUGCCAUUUACAUCAUCCUUCAAGGCAAUUAAUUCUGUCUUCACUAUUAUCAACUUCUUAAUUUCUUUCUUGGUAUUAAUCAUAUGCUUGCAUCGUACAAAAAUUUGGGUAUUUAAACAAUUCUGUUGACAAAAACAACUCAAAAGAGUACCGAUUGCAGCAAUUAUUUCAGCCAUCCUGCCAUUAUAACACAACAUAAAUGUAAGAAUAAGGAAAACCUUUUAAAGUGAUUGGCACGUACAACAGGAUAUGAACUUGAACAAGUUUGAUGGUUUAUAUAUAUUCUACUACAGAGAAAAAAAAAAAACAAUCCGUCAAAUUCAAAGUAAAAGUUUAUGGAAUAUAUAUAAUAACAUUGUAAUUUGUCCUUAUUUUUGCGAUAAAAAAAAAGAGAUCUUAGUCACACCACAUAUAUCUCUCAUACACCACAUUUUUAGAUAAAUUUUGAAUAAUUGUGUUUUUACGGAUUUAUCCUUAUUAUUUUAUUUGGCACACUACACAUUAAUUUUGGUUUUGUUUCUUUUAAAAAUUUUACUUGCCAAACAAAAUCUAGUAAAUAAGGAAAUGUUGCUAAAUUAAAUCUAGCAAAUAAAGAUAUUUUUAUUUUAAAUGGCAAGAAAGGAGACCUGAUAGUGGUAGAUGGGCAAGUGGCCACAUUUGAGACUUUACUAGAACACUAAGUGAAUUUGCACUUGUCGAGCACGUUCUAUUUUUGAAAAAUAUAUUAAAUGAACUCGUUAUUAGUUAUGAAAAUGAAACUGUAUUAUGUUAUUUAUGCAUGGCAAACUGGGUUUUUGAGGACAUGUGGCAAGAGUUAGAAUCUUUAUAAAUAUGGGAAUCACGCAUAUGAACUGUGCGUGCAUAUUAACAUAGUCUAUAUAAUAGUUGAACCCAAGGGGUCCCACUUACUCUUUUCUAGGUGGCAUCGUAAUUGAUCUGCAACUGUCACACUUUUUCUCCUUUUUUAAAAUGUAAAAUAAAGCAGUAAAAAUCUAAUUGGGUAGAAUUUAUAAGCUGAGAAUCCGCCUAUAACCCCACAAAUUGGAUUAAUAUUCGGGUUAAUGGGUUGGUUAUGGUUUAGUCUAAUGAAUCAAGUUAUGUUUUUUUUUUCUUUUAAAUAAAUUAUAAUCGCGUUAUUUAAAUGUGUGGGAAAUAAAAAGAUUUAUAUUAACAUGAGUUCACAAUUUAAAAUCUCUAUAAAAUGUACAUUGUGUCUAAUACGUACACUCACUAUUAUUGAAUAUCACAAGUUGUUGAACCCAUGCUACACAACGGGAUUUGUGUUAUCCGAUAAAUGGAGGAUCACUUAUAAUACAUGGUAUUCCCCGAAGGAUUUCUAUUACCUUAUUAGAUCGUUGCAAUUGUGUGAUUGUGGAACCGAGCUUCUUUUAAUGUCCUUUUCAACCUAGAUUUGUAGAGAUUUACAAUUAAUAUUUUUUGUAUUUAGUAUGGUUUUUAUAAAAGAAUUGAGGACUUUAAAUAGAAGAAGAAUUUAGUAGAAAAAGAGAUUUAGAAGUCGGUGAGGGUUUUAAGGUUUCUAUAAAUCUAUGCUAACAUUAGGAGUGUCAAUGGUUAGCCGAUUAACCGAAACCAAUUAUAGCGCUUUUGGGUUCUAAAAUUGUUAAAAAAAAAUAAGAUGGACAUUUUGAAAAUCGAACCGAUAGAAUCCGAAACCGAUAUGAUGUAGGAUAUAUUAUCAUGUAUUCCAUCUAAUAUGAUGUAGAAUAUACUGAAUAUUAUUAUUUUAUUUCUAAGUUCCAAGUAGGAUCAAGAAAAAAAUAUUCUUUUACAUCCAAGUAUAUUACACACGUUCUACUACAAGCUCUCUAAAAUGGUUUGUUUUCUGCAACAACAUUUUUCUUAAGAUCCAAUGACACCUAAUCAACAAGAUUUUGUUUCAAGGAAAGACUUUGAUGCAGGCAUCAAUUCUCUUAAAGAAACUCAAGCAUAGAUGAAAUCUUCACAAGAUUUUAUUUCGAAGCUACUCAAAUUUCGUUGAAAGAUUCUAUUGAUCAACUCACCCGCCAAAUUUCUCUAAUACUCAAACGUAAGAACAAAAUAGAUGAAGCGAUCCCUGUAUCUACAUCAAAUAUUCCAGCCACCAUCAUCCCUCUCCCCUCUACACCUAUUGUUCCCUCCACCAUCCAACCAAUUUCAUCUUUUUCUCAAGAGGAGAAUGUUGAUUUUAACCUAGCCGACUUAUUUAAAGAUGAGGAGUUAUUGCAUGUUCUACCUUUUCUACUUAUCGAUAAGUAUCCAAAAACGUAAUUUUUAUCCCUAAUUAGUAUGAUGUUGGAACUCACUUUUGGACAUGAAAAUUCUCUUCUUCUUUUAGUUUUUAAUUUUUAUUUUAUGUCAUUUCAUUCAAUAGAUUUUAGUUUAGUAUUAUGUUAGGUUGGUCCAUUUUUCAAAGGAGAGAUGGAACCUUUUUUCAUAUAUGUAGUAGUUAGUAUAUGAUUUGUUAAGUUUUAAUCUAUUAGAAUAAUUCUAGAGAUUAAAGAUUUAAUACUUCGAGAAGAGGUAGAGGUAAGUUAUUGCAAUAUUUUAUUGUGAAACGAAGUAUAUAACGGUGUUCAUUUACUUUCUUCUUAGUUCUUUAAAUUCUCUUAGUAGGUGGAAUAUACACUUUGCUAUAGUUAUUUGGGGACACAUUGAGUGACGCUUUAAAAGACGAACGUACUCUUUCUUGCCACCAACAUAAUAGUUGUACAUUGUGUUGUAGUAUUUCCUCAUAUUUUAAUGAUAAGAAGUAUCGUUGAUUUUUUAGAAUUGGUAGACUCUAAUGUAGAUAGAAUAAGUGUUUCAUAUCAUAUCUUUCCAUUAUGCAUUUCGCAUCAUCUUAGUGUGUAAUGAGUAUCUAUCUACAGAUUAAUCUUGAUAAAUCUAUAUAUUAAUUAUUAUACAUGUUUGUAUCGGUGGACUCAAUCUCUUGAAACUCUUAUCUUAUUUAUCUUCUUAAAAUAUUUCUUUCAUUAGUAGUAGUUAAUCAUCAUUAAUACCUUGCAAAAUCAUUUGCCCCCUUAUUAUCUAGAUUAGUAAAAAUGAAUUUCUCUUAUUCAUUUAACUUGGUUCUCUCUUAGACGUGGAUUCAAUAACCCUUUCUUGAAGUUAUACUCAUUUUAGAUAGUCAAAGCAAGGUUUUAAAAAGCGUGAUCUAAUUAACGACUAUUUCGUGCAUUCACUAUGUGUUUAAAAAUCGUUUUAGUUUAGAAGCCCUUUUUAAACAAGCUUCUUGCAUCUUUUAUAAAAAAAUCUUUAGGUUAUUGUAAUAGAUAGGUUGAUUAUUAUUGAAUUGAAUAGAAGAAUUGCUUCUUGAGUUAUCUUUUGUUUCUUGUUAGAUUAUUCAUCAUUUCCUUCUUUUUUACUCGGUGGAUUCCAAGUUUCCAUUCGUAAAAGAUUCCUAACUAUUUUUCCUCUUCUUCUUUGAGAAAUUCCUAAUCUCUUUCUUCCUUGAUUUACAUUACCAUCAAACACCGAUGAAACAUAAAAUACAAAUUAAUCAAGCCAUAACUUGGAUCUAGAAUAAAUUCCAGAUCUGAACCAAGCUUGAAAUGUUGGAAAGUAAGAACUUUCUCAUCUUGAAAAAAAAAAGAUAAAACAAGAAGGAAGAUCACAUAGAGAAGAAGACUAGCCACCAACGAUUGAAAUCUGGCGUCAUGAGAGGAAUUUGAUUUGGUUAGGUUUUUUUCUCUAGCGGCUAGGAUUUUUAGUUGGCUUAACCAGUAGAGAUCUAUAUUAUUUACACUUACAUGUAUAAAUAGUGGGUGGGAAAAAGAGUUUAAUUUGUAUUGGAUACCUUUUUUUUGCAAUUAUAGGAUUUGCAAUUAAAAAUAGUGCCUAUGCCGAUUCAUACAGUAUAAUGGGGUGGGUUGGGUUAACCCUUUUUUUCUUGUAAUUUGAGCGGAUUUGGUGGGUUUGAUAAUUUUAAUGUACGUGCUAUAAUUAGAUCAUGAAUGUAAUGCAUAUGGUGUUGCUCUUUCAAAAGAUAUACGCAUUUCUCCAAUCUUUAACGUACAUGACAUAUAUCCAAUCUAUGAUUCACGUGAAGUUUUGGUUUGCGAGAACUCGAGGACGAUGCAGAGCAUCUUGACUUGAUGAGUUGACUGACAAUUUCCUAUUUCAUACUUUGAGUGUAUUGGUUUAGAAAUCCUUGUGUAAACUAAACUUCGUUUCUAAGUUAUGUUUUUGCUAUUUAGGUGUCUUUAUAAUAGUCUAAAAGAGUCAUUUGAGUUCUACUUUGUUUAGGAUUCCUUAAAGGAAAUGUAUUAGGAGGUUUACUCAGUUUUUAGAUCAGUUAUCAAGAGUUAUCUAUAUAAAGAGGUGUAAAACCAAAAUUUUCUUUAGUUAUUCAUUCAACUAUCAAAGUUCUACUCUUUUUUAGCAAUUUUCUUUCAAGUUUAUAGUGUUAGAUUCAAUUAUCACUCUUCCCUCUAUGUCAGACGUAAAUAAGCCUAGGGCUGAAGACGGGUCAGGUAUUGUUUUGGGUACAAACCUAACACAAAGAAUAGGAUUCUGUCUACACACAUUGGAAAAGUAUGAAUUUAUAGCAAAAAAAAAAAAAAAAAAAACAGUUAGAAUGCAAAGAAAAACUGACUCCUAAAAUUCAAAAUUGUAUUUUUCUAUUUAUUUACCUUAUGUUGGAACUUUCUUCUUUUGCUGUAGUUCCUUAGCAAUCCUUACACUGACUACACAAUGAAGAAACCAGUUCUGUUUGAGAGAAAGAAAACAUGUUAUUUAAAAAUAAAGGCAAGAAGAAAGUCUGAUAGUUGUAGAUGGGCAAGUGACUAUGCGUAAGACUUUACUAGAACAUAUACGAAAUGGAUCUGAAUGAGAACAAAAAAUAUCACAAUUUUCCUCUGUUGUUGUGGAAUUGACAUACAUCACAAGUUGACGUGGUUUACAACAAAGGGAGGUCAAGGUUGGGUAUAAAGAAGUUCAUCCAUACCUAAAAGUUGCAAGUACUCUUAGCUUGUGAUGAACUGUAUUUCAUCCAUACACUUUACUAAACUGUAUUUCAAUCUAACGCUAAAAAGGGGUUGAACUCAAAGGGCUUUUCUUACGUAUUUACCUUAUGUACCAAGCAAGUUUUGUUUCUUAAGCACUAACCAAACAGUGUGAAGAACCAGAUCUGAAAGAGUGAAAGAUAAAAAAUUAAUAUUAGAAAAAAUUGAAGUUCAAAACACUUUGACUUCAGAGCAAAGUAUCUAUGUAUAUCUAUGUCUAUGUAUCUUCAAAGCAAGUGACCAUACCUGAGACUUUACGAGUAGAACUUGUAUGAAUUAGAUCUGAUUGAGAAGGAAGUUAAUUUCUCAAGAAGAAGGAUAUAUAUCUUUGUAUGCUCAAAGAGACUAUUUCUAAGAAAUAAUGAUCAGACUUCAGAGGAGACCAUAGUUGCAGGAGUCAGGGGAGGAGUCUGGCAGCACUUAUUUUUCAGUCAAGUACUAGUAGAAUGACAACCACUUAUUUUCU